rnacentral:lncRNA from 1 species
UGAAACAGAUCUUCCUUAUAUUCAUUUCAAGAUGCAGACUCUGAAUCUCAGAGAGAAAGGUCAUCGAAAAUCCUUGUUGUUACUAAAAGAUGUAGCAAAAAAAAAUAUAGGUAUUGCAUUCUUCCGUCUGCUCCAGUUUCAUGUGCGCGUCUGAUUCCACUUAGUUUUUCAUCUUCAAAUGUUCUAUGUGCUGAAAAAGAACAGGUUGUUCUUAUGGUAAUAUAUUUCCAUGCCCUCCUUUGGACAUGGUGGGAUAUGACAUACAAUGAUACAACUAUGCCUCUUCAAAACAGAUAUUGUUUGAUACAUAAAAAACUUUCAUUGACAUUUAAAGUUGAAGGAUGUUACUUUUAUAGAUAAACUUUUAUUUUUAUUUUUCUUCGGUGUAUGUUAUGCAUGAGUAAAAAAAUCAUGGUUAAUGUGUGUGUGCUCCGUGUGAGUAGGAUUACAAGAGUCUUUUGAUGUACAUUGCCUAUUGUAUUGGAAUAUAUAAAUUGUAUGCAUGUUUUUAGUUUGCAUGAUCUA